GGCGAGUGAAGCGGGAAAAGCUCAAAUUUAAAAUCUGGCAAUCUUUGGUUGUCCGAAUUGUAAUCUAGAGAAGCGUUUUCCGUGCUGGACUGUGUGCAAGUUUCCUGGAUACGGAACAUCAUAGAGGGUGAGAAUCCCGUCCUUCACACAGACUCCCAGUGCUUUGUGAUGCGCUCUCGACGAGUCGAGUUGUUUGGGAUUGCAGCUCAAAAUGGGAGGUAAAUUCCUUCUAAAGCUAAAUAUUGGCGAGAGACCGAUAGCGAACAAGUACCGUGAGGGAAAGAUGAAAAGCACUUUGGAAAGAGAGUUAAACAGUACGUGAAAUUGUUAAAAGGGAAACGCUUGAAGUCAGUCAUGUUUGCUUGGACUCAGCCUUACCUCGGUUAGGUGCAUUUCCUUGCAGACGGGCCAGCGUUCAUGUUGUUUUCCAGAGAAGGAGCGAGAGAAUGUGACUCCCUUGGGAGCGUUAUAGCUCUCACUCGCAUGUGGGGAACAAUAUGGAGUGGUACAGCACGCUUUGGUGGUGCUUGUGCUGGCAUAAUGGCUUUAAACGACCC
rnacentral:rRNA from 1 species